rnacentral:rRNA from 1 species
GUCCACGCCCUAAACGUUGAAUACUCGACCUUAGCGAUAUACAGUUAGGGUCCAAGCGAAAGCGUUAAGUAUUCCACCUGGGAAGUACGUUCGCAAGAAUGAAACUCAAAGGAAUUGACGGGGCCCGCACAAGCGGAGGAGCAUGUGGUUUAAUUCGAUGAUACGCGAGGAACCUUACCUGGGCUUGAAUGUGAGUGACCGGUGCCGAAAGGUACUUUCCCUUCGGGGCACAAACAAGGUGCUGCAUGGCUGUCGU